rnacentral:rRNA from 1 species
CGCCUCUUGCAUAUAUUAUAAGAGGUCUUGCCUGCCCAGUGACGCAAGUUUAACGGCCGCGGUAUUUUGACCGUGCAAAGGUAGCGUAAUCAAUCGUCUUUUAAAUGAAGACCUGUAUGAAUGGUAAAACGAAAACUCAACUGUCUCAUUCUUUCAGCCAAUGAAAUUGAUCUCUCCGUGCAGAAGCGGGGAUAUACACAUAAGACAAGAAGACCCUGUGGAGCUUUAGAUCUCUACUUACAUCUUAGAUUGGGGCGAUCACGGAGAAAACAGACCCUCCACGAAGAAAAACAUAGUCAAGAGUUACAGCUCCAAACACUAAUACAUUUAAUUCUAUGAACCGGCCUACCGAUUAACGAACCUAGUUACCCCAGGGAUAACAGCGCAAUCCCCUUAAAGAGCACUUAUCACUAAGGGGGUUUACGACCUCGAUGUUGGAUCAGGACAUCCUAAUGGCGCACCAACUAUUAAGGGUUCGUUUGUUCAACGAUUAAAGUCCU